rnacentral:rRNA from 1 species
GAAUAUGGGGGGACCAUCCUCCAAGGCUAAAUACUCCUGACUGACCGAUAGUGAACCAGUACCGUGAGGGAAAGGCGAAAAGAACCCCGGCGAGGGGAGUGAAAAAGAACCUGAAACCGUGUACGUACAAGCAGUGGGAGCACGCUUAGGCGUGUGACUGCGUACCUUUUGUAUAAUGGGUCAGCGACUUAUAUUCUGUAGCAAGGUUAACCGAAUAGGGGAGCCGAAGGGAAACCGAGUCUUAACUGGGCGUUAAGUUGCAGGGUAUAGACCCGAAACCCGGUGAUCUAGCCAUGGGCAGGUUGAAGGUUGGGUAACACUAACUGGAGGACCGAACCGACUAAUGUUGAAAAAUUAGCGGAUGACUUGUGGCUGGGGGUGAAAGGCCAAUCAAACCGGGAGAUAGCUGGUUCUCCCCGAAAGCUAUUUAGGUAGCGCCUCGUGAAUUCAUCUCCGGGGGUAGAGCACUGUUUCGGCAAGGGGGUCAUCCCGACUUACCAACCCGAUGCAAACUGCGAAUACCGGAGAAUGUUAUCACGGGAGACACACGGCGGGUGCUAACGUCCGUCGUGAAGAGGGAAACAACCCAGACCGCCAGCUAAGGUCCCAAAGUCAUGGUUAAGUGGGAAACGAUGUGGGAAGGCCCAGACAGCCAGGAUGUUGGCUUAGAAGCAGCCAUCAUUUAAAGAAAGCGUAAUAGCUCACUGGUCGAGUCGGCCUGCGCGGAAGAUGUAACGGGGCUAAACCAUG